UCGAGAACCGACCGAGAGACCGCGAACCUGUAAACGGACGACACCAUUUCAGGCGGGCAUUAUGCCUGCCCUACAUGGGACCUCGCAUCGUGUCCGCGGCCGCCUACGAGCGUUCCUGGCAUGAUUUGUGGGGGAUGAACGAAACCCCGGCACGGCCUGUGCCAAGGAAAUAUAUGUCAGGACGGACGCGCGUCAACGCCUCUGUGGUGGGGCGACAUCCGCUCUCUAUC
rnacentral:misc_RNA from 1 species